AACGAACGCUGGCGGCAUGCCUAACACAUGCAAGUCGAACGAGACCUUCGGGUCUAGUGGCUCACGGGUUCGUAACGCGUGGGAACCUGCCCUUAGGUUCGGAAUAACUCCCCGAAAUGGGUGCUAAUACCGGAUAAUGUCUUCGGACCAAAGAUUUAUCGCCGUUGGAUGGGCCCGCGUUGGGUUAGCUAGUUGGUAGGGUAAAAGCCUACCAAGGCGACGAGCCAUAGCUGGUCUGAGAGGAUGAUCAGCCACACUGGGACUGAGCAACGGCCCAGACUCCUACGGGAGGGAGCAGUGGGGAAUAUUGGACAAUGGGCGAAAGCCUGAUCCAGCAAUGCCGAGUGAGUGAUGAAGGCCUUAGGCUUGUAAAGCUCUUUUACCCGGGAUGAUAAUGACAGUACCGGGAGAAUAAGCUCCGGCUAACUACGUG
rnacentral:rRNA from 1 species